rnacentral:lncRNA from 1 species
GUAUUUUUACACCUUCAAGCGCCACCCCUCGGCAAAGGAUGGGUGGUACUUCUCCCUCCAGUUCGGCAAGAAGGGGUUGCUGAAAGAUGCUCCCUCUUCUAUCCAUAACUGGAAGGGGAAGUAUCUCUACGUCCAAUGCCUGACCUUAAAGCUGGGAUUGCCCCCUUGGGGCUCCCUGAGGGACUCUGUCUGUCAGGCUCCCAGCCUGGGGGAGAACGACCAUCAGGCCACCCGAAAGCUUCUUAGUUAUCCAAAUCCUUCCCUU